rnacentral:rRNA from 1 species
GGCCCAGAUCGUUUACCGUGAAAAAAUUAGAGUGUUCAAAGCAGGCAGAUCCAAUUUUCUGCCACCGAAUACAUUAGCAUGGGAUAAUGGAAUAGGACCCUGUCCUCCUAUUUUCAGUUGGUUUUGGCAGCGCGAGGACUAGGGUAAUGAUUAAUAGGGAUAGUUGGGGGCAUUAAUAUUUAAUUGUCAGAGGUGAAAUUCUUGGAUUUAUGAAAGAUUAACUUCUGCGAAAGCAUCUGCCAAGGAUGUUUUCAUUAAUCAAGAACGAAAGUUAGGGGAUCGAAGACGAUCAGAUACCGUCGUAGUCUUAACCAUAAACGAUGCCGACCAGCGAUUAGGAGACGUUGAAUACAAAACACCACCAUCGGUGCGGUCGUCCUUGGCGUCGGUCUUUCGGGGCCUGCGCGGGGGCG